CGGAGGAGCAUGUGGUUUAAUUCGAUGAUACGCGAGGAACCUUACCUGGGCUCGAACGUAAGAUGACUGUAGGUGAAAGCUUACAUCUCUUCGGAGCAUUUUACGAGGUGCUGCAUGGUUGUCGUCAGCUCGUGCCGUGAGGUGUCGGGUUAAGUCCCAUAACGAGCGCAACCCUACCUUUAGUUGCCAUCAGGUAAUGCUGGGGACUCUAAAGGAACUGCCUACGCAAGUAGUGAGGAAGCGGGGAUGACGUCAAAUCAGCACGGCCCUUACGUCCAGGGCUACACACGUGCUACAAUGGCCGAUACAGAGGGCAGCUACCUGGUGACAGGAUGCAAAUCUCCAAAGUCGGUCUCAGUUCGGAUCGGAGUCUGCAACCCGACUCCGUGAAGUUGGAUUCGCUAGUAAUCGCGCAUCAGCCAUGGCGCGGUGAAUACGUUCCCGGGCCUU
rnacentral:rRNA from 1 species